rnacentral:rRNA from 1 species
CCUACGGGAGGCAGCAGUGAGGAAUAUUGGUCAAUGGGCGGGAGCCUGAACCAGCCAAGUCGCGUGAGGGAUGACGGCCCUAUGGGUUGUAAACCUCUUUUGCCGGGGAGCAAAGUGCCGCACGUGUGCGAUUUUGAGAGUACCCGGAGAAAAAGCAUCGGCUAACUCCGGGCCAGCAGCCGCGGUAAUACGGAGGAUGCGAGCGUUAUCCGGAUCUAGUGGGUUUAAAGGGAGCGUAGGCCGGCUUGUAAGUCAGCUGUGAAAGUCCGCGGCUCAACCGGGGAAUUGCAGUUGAAACUGGAGGCCUUGAGUGCACACAGGGAUGCCGGAAUUCAAGGUGUAGCGGUGAAAUGCUUAGAUAUCAUGAAGAACUCCGAUCGCGAAGGCAAGUGUCCGGGGUGCAACUGACGCUGAGGCUCGAAAGUGCGGGUAUCAAACAGGAUUAGAUACCCGAGUAGUC